rnacentral:rRNA from 1 species
GAUGAACGCUAGCGGCAGGCCUAACACAUGCAAGUCGAGGGAUAGAGGAAGCUUGCUUCCUUGAGACCGGCGCACGGGUGCGUAACGCGUAUGCAAUCUACCUUUUACAGAGGGAUAGCCCAGAGAAAUUUGGAUUAAUACCUCAUAGUAUAUAUCAUUCGCAUGUUUGGUAUAUUAAAGUUCCACCGGUAAAAGAUGAGCAUGCGUCCCAUUAGUUAGUUGGUAAGGUAACGGCUUACCAAGACGAUGAUGGGUAGGGGUCCUGAGAGGGAGAUCCCCCACACUGGUACUGAGACACGGACCAGACUCCUACGGGAGGCAGCAGUGAGGAAUAUCGGUCAAUGGACGCAAGUCUGAACCAGCCAUGCCGCGUGCAGGAAGACGGUCCUAUGGAUUGUAAACUGCUUUUGUACGGGAAGAAACACUCCUACGUGUAGGAGCCUGACGGUACCGUAAGAAUAAGGAUCGGCUAACUCCGUGCCAGCAGCCGCCGUAAGAC